GAUCCUGGCUCAGAGCGAACGUUAGCGGCGCGCCUAACACAUGCAAGUCGCACGAGAAAGGGGGCAACCCCCGGUACAGUGGCGCACGGGUGAGUAACACGUGGGUGAUCUGCCCAGAAGAAGGGGAUAAACCUCUCGAAAAGGGGGGGCUAAUACCGCAUAGGACCACCGGGGCUCUGGCUCUGUGGGUGAAAAGGGGGCCUCUGUUUACAAGCUCCUGCUUCUGGAUGAGCCCGCGUCCCAUCAGCUAGUUGGUAGGGUAAUGGCCUACCAAGGCUACGACGGGUAGCUGGUCUAAGAGGAUGGCCAGCCACACUGGAACUGAGACACGGUCCAGACUCCUACGGGAGGCAGCAGUGGGGAAUCUUGCGCAAUGGGCGAAAGCCUGACGCAGCGACGCCGCGUGGGUGACGAAGGCCUUCGGGUUGUAAAGCCCUGUGGGGUAGAACGAACUGGCAUCGGGCUAAUAUCCCGGU
rnacentral:rRNA from 1 species